rnacentral:lncRNA from 1 species
GAAUUAUAAGCGAAAAUAGCUGAAAAUUACGCAUUUUUCGUUUUAUUUUUCAAAUAUUUUUGCUAAAACGUAAAUCUGGAGACACUUCCCAAAUCAAAGUUGAAGAAUAUCAUUUAUUGAAGAACUUCUAAUGGUUAGCAGUAACGAAGAAAGGUGAGGAGAAAAUAUCCUUCGGCAAACUCAUUUGCAUUAUUAGCGUAUUCGUGACUCGCCAUAUUGUUGCUUCACCACCCGCUGUCUUGUCUUUCUAAAUCGAUAGAUUAUUGCUGUAAAAGUCAAACGUGUGAUGGAAAUAAAGGAAAUCCAGCAAAAUCCAACAAACAGAGACCACUAGCGGAUAAUUUUUGGAAAAAAUCUCCAUUCUUUAAGCUCAGAGAAGGCGAAGGAGAUCUGUCACGCAAGUCACGCGAGGUUCAUACUGUAGGCCUACUAAGAAUAAACUGAGGUUAAUUGAGCUUGGUAUUGGAACCCGGCUUAAUUAAGUUACUAAAUAGUAUAAGCUGUAGAACGGCUGCAUAUUUAUAAGUUGAUUGUCAGUUUAAUAUAAUAUGUGAUAUCGAAAUAUUAAAAUUACAACAUAGGCCACAAGUUGUGGGUUUUUGUUUAAAAGGCAGUCUGAUUAUAUAAACCUAUUAACUAAUAGUAGCCAACACUUACCGGCCCAUUUCAGGGGUAGAAUUAUCUGGUGUUUAUAGCCUAGAUAUCGUAAAAUACGAAAGCAGAGUGUAUACACGAUACAUCAAGGGCCAUAAAAUGAGACUGAUAGCUGAAACAGUAGAUUUAUCUGCAUGUAUUCUUGUAUUCUCAUAUUUGUUUACUUCGCCUCAUACUGCGUGCCUUGAGUUAGCUGGUUUCUUUACUUCGAUAAAAGCUUAUCGUGUGGCUGACACAAGUUUUAUUUACAUUAAUAUAACUACAGAAUACUGAGUUAUAGUUUACAAAAGAAAUCAGUUACACAUGCGUUUAUUUAAGCUACGGUCGGGGAGCCGUCUUCUCGUUAAAGGUCGAUAUAAAGACAACAUGCCUUGGUAAUCUGAGUCGUGAGAGUAGCAGACGUACUAUAUGAUCCUCACGCGAAAACCAUCAUGAAAAGCGCUUGGAAUUGUAACUAAAUGAUAAAAUUAAGUGUGCGCAAAGACAUGAAAUCUGUUUCUGGAAAAUCUGCGUAUCUUAAGGAAUUUAAAUCACUGGUAUAUACUGUAAUACCAUUAUUUUAUGUCGCUACGGAUCAGUUGCGCAGCCGAUUAUAAACUGUAGUAAUUUGGCAGGCAUAUACGAGUGCACUGUAGCUAAAUCUACUAUAUAUAUUGUCAUCUAUACAAAAUAC